AUGCGGCGGGCUCGGGGCGCGGCGCUGCCGGCGCUGGCCGCGCUGGUCAUCGUGGCUGUGGUCAGAGCUCAGGUACAGCAGGAGCCAUUCCUGGAGACCACCGAGGGCACCGGCAUCAACAUCACCUGCUCACACCCCGAAAUCCAGAGCAGCCAAACAAUCUUCUGGUACCGACAAUUGCCUGGCCGGGGACCCGAAUACCUCGUGAGCAUUCACAAGGGCUCCAAAGAGCUGCCGGACAGUGCGGGCCGUGUGUGGGUGUCGGCAGAUCGGCGUGGGAGCGCGCUGUGGCUCGGGCGGCCCCGGCGCGGGGACGCGGCCGUGUAUUACUGCGCGCUGGGGCCACGGGCAGAGGAGCCGGGGCUGCGGCCGGGCACGAACCGCCGCGGGCGGGGCCGGGCGGGGCCAGCAGGGGGCGCUGCCGCUCCCGCUUGACGCCGCUCGCCGGGGCCGGCACCGAGCCGCGCCUGCAACCCCCGGCAUCCCGACCGGGAGCAACCACGGGCCCGGCACACGGCCUGGCCUGCUGCCAGAGACCCCUCCGGGCACAAGG